GACGAACGCUGGCGGCGUGCUUAACACAUGCAAGUCGAGCGGUAAGGCCCUUUCGGGGGUACACGAGCGGCGAACGGGUGAGUAACACGUGGGUGACCUGCCCUCAGCUCUGGGAGUAAGCCUGGGAAACCGGGGUCGUAAUACCGGAUAUGACUCCAUGACGCAUGUUGUGGGGUGGAAAGCCUUGUGCGGCUGAGGAUGGGCCCGCGGCCUAUCAGCUUGUUGGUGGGGUGAUGGCCUACCAAGGCGACGACGGGUAGCCGGCCU
rnacentral:rRNA from 1 species